GAUUAACGCUGGCGGCGUGCCUAAUACAUGCAAGUCGAACGCGCCUUCGGGCGAGUGGCGGACGGCUGAGUAACACGUUGGUACCUGCCCUUCACUCGAGGAUAAGCCCUGGAAACGGGGUCUAAUACUCGAUAUCCUCUUCGGAGGAAAGCUUUCGCGGUGAAGGAGGGGCCUGCGCGAGAUUAGCUAGUUGGUGGGGUAAUGGCUCACCAAGGCGACGAUCUCUAGAUGGUCUGAGAGGAUGAUCAUCCAGACUGGGACUGAGACACGGCCCAGACUCCUACGGGAGGCAGCAGUAAGGAAUCUUCCGCAAUGGGGGCAACCCUGACGGAGCAACGCCGCGUGGAGGAAGACGGCCUUCGGGUUGUAAACUCCUUUUGCACGGGACGAACAUUGACGGUACCGUGCGAAUAAGAGGUGGCUAACUAUGUGCCAGCAGCCGCGGUAAUACAUAGACCUCAAGCGUUAUCCGGAUUUACUGGGCGUAAAGCGUACGUAGGCGUCCUUUUAAGUCUCUGGUGAAAUCCCUCGGCCUAACCGAGGAACUGUCAGAGAAACUGGAAGGAUUGAGUAUGGCAGAGGCAGACGGAAUUCGAGGUGUAGCGGUAAAAUGCGUAGAUAUCUCGAAGAACACCAGUGGCGAAGGCGGUCUGCUGGGUCAUCACUGACGCUGAGGUACGAAAGCGUGGGGAGCGAACGGGAUUAGAUACCCCGGUAGUCCACGCCGUAAACGAUGGGUGCUAGGCAUAUGGGGAUUAGACCCCCUGUGUGUCGAAGCUAACGCGUUAAGCACCCCGCCUGGGGAGUACGAGCGCAAGCUUAAAACUCAAAGGAAUUGACGGGGACCCGCACAAGCGGUGGAGCGUGUGGUUUAAUGCGACGCUAAGCGAAGAACCCUACCCAGGCUUGACAUCCCGGGAAUCCCCUGGAAACAGGGGAGUGCCGCAAGGAGCCCGGUGACAGGUGCUGCAUGGCCGUCGUCAGCUCGUGUCGUGAGAUGUUGGGUUAAGUCCCGCAACGAGCGCAACCCUUGUCGUAUGUUACAUGUGUCAUACGAGACUGCCUCGGUCAACGAGGAGGAAGGUGAGGAUGACGUCAGGUCCGCAUGGCCCUUAUGCCUGGGGUAACACACGCGCUACAAUGGCCGGUACAAUGGGUCGCGAAAUCGUAAGAUGGAGCUAAUCCCAUCAAAGCCGGUCCCAGUUCGGAUUGAGGGCUGCAACUCGCCCUCAUGAAGCCGGAAUCGCUAGUAAACGCGGAUCAGCUACGCCGCGUUGAAUACGUUCUCGGGUCUUGUACACACCGCCCGUCACACCACGAAAGUCGGUAAUGCCCAAAGCGCUUUUAGCCAACCGCAAGGAGGCGGAGCACUACGGCAGGAUCGAUGAUUGGGGUG
rnacentral:rRNA from 1 species